UUCAGCAUUUUGGUAACGGCGUUAACUUUGUAGCCUUGGAAGAGGGAACAACGGUCACCUUGGUGGUCCUUUAAUUAGUCCUACCAGAUGGCCAUUUCACCGGAAUUGAGCACUUGGACCUGCAGCGCAAAUCCAGCCUUUGCGAUGAAAUUUCUCAAGAAGAUGGGGGAAAAGGUCGAGCUGACAGCUACAUGGACAAAUGGACGCACGUUGAUGCCUCCACAAGAAGUCAAGACAGGAGGACAAAAAGCCAGCCAGUUGGUACCGCAGACCAGGACCACCCACCUGACCAGGCUGGAGUGUCUGUGACCCAGUUCUGACCCAACGCGCAACACGCCAAUGGCGGGGCAGGAAUGAGGAAGGCGCGGAGAUGGCAAACGAGGGAAAGCGGCGGCAGAAUGAGCCUCGUGAUGACGCGCGGUGUCAUCGCCAAUGUGGAAAACUGGCUUUUGGAUGCCUUGGGAAAAAAAAAAAUGGAAGCACCGCCGCCCAUCCUCACGUGUCAGAGCUCCGUGGAAGCGGCUGC